UACGGCGAGUGACAGGGAAAGCCCAGCACCGAAGCCUGUGGUCAUUUGGCCUCUAGGCACUGUGGUGUUUAGGUUUGCUUGCGGAAGUGCUGUCCCACUCUAAGUCCAGCAAUGAGUACGGCAUAUGUGACUUGGCCCAAAGAGGGUGAAAGGCCCGUGAGGGUGGGAAUCAGAUAAGUCAGCGCUUCCAUAAGUGAACCUUGGAGUCGGGUUGUUUGUGAAUGCAGCCCAAAGCGGGUGGUAAACUCCAUCCAAGGCUAAAUACUUACACGAGUCCGAUAGCGAACAAGUACCGUGAGGGAAAGUUGAAAAGUACUUUGAAGAGAGAGUAAACAGUGCGUGAAGCCGCUCACAGGUAAACGGGUGGAGUUGAACUGCAAGCCCUGAGAAUUCAGCUGAUGGAAAUGUAGUGACGCUGGUCACAUGUGUUUGCUCAGAGUCUGCGUAGCUGCAGGUCUUGCUCUUCGGAGUGGGAUGCGCGAUGCACUUGUCAAGUGUUGUGCGCUCUGGGUUAUUAAACACUUCCGUCAGUGCACUUUCUUAUGGUGAUCACCACGACCGGUAUUUUGUCGGUCCGCUGUUGUUAAACUAGAGCUGUAAAAUCCUUGUGGUUUUGCGGUUUUGGGAUGGCAGGUAGCCUGUUUAUGUUAACAUAAGCGGGUGUUAUCAGCUGGCAGCAGUGGUACUGUGCGGAAUGUCGGAGCUGGCGGCCUGUUUGGUGCUCUUGCGCGUCUUUCUACCAGCAGCUUUGGGCGUGGUCAUCAAGUGCAUGUGAAUGCAUGCCUGGUGAUCGUCUGAGGUUGUUUGGAUAGAGGUGGCGCUGGGUGCUCUGUGGGGCCAAAAGUCUGUGGUGUAGUGGUAGACUAUCCACCCGACCCGUCUUGAAACACGGACCAAGGAGAGUAACAUGUAUGCGAGUCAUUGGGCAUUACGAAACCCAAAGGCGUAGUGAAAGUAAAGGUCUAACUCGAUUUAGACUGAGGUGAGAUUCGGCCGUUUCUCAUGUGCGGUACUACCAAGCAUUCGAUCGGUUGACGCAUCACCGGCCCGUCUCAUGGUUUGUACGGUGCCUUCGGGUGCCGUAUAGCCGGGGCGGAGCAUGAGCAUACACGUUGAGACCCGAAAGAUGGUGAACUAUGCUUGCACAGGUUGAAGCCAGAGGAAACUCUGGUGGAGGACCGUAGCGAUUCUGACGUGCAAAUCGAUCGUCUAAUGUGAGUAUAGGGCGAAAGACUAAUCG
rnacentral:rRNA from 1 species